CCAACCGAGCGUCAUCAAUUUGGUUUUCCCUGCUUAACGCUCGUUCAAAUCGUUUAUUUUAAACGAUCACUUCGUGAAGGAAUCUUUAAACUUUAUGUGUUAAACUUAGACGUGGCAGCAAAGCAUGGAUUCACUUGAAGGAAAUCUACUCGGCUGGAAGCGCCGACAUCGGAACUCCACGUCUUUCGUGCAGUGACGGAGGAUUCUGAUUCAAAUGCAGGCUGGUGAACUCGGACUCCUUUUCUUCGCUUGAGCUGCAGAUGAUUAAGGUGAAAUUAAGACCACAAAACCAUCACAGCCAAGUCUGGACAGAAUGUCAUUCUGACCUGUCAAACUCCAAACAACAACAUCUUAGUUGUAGAGUGGAGUAGAGCUGACCUGGGAGAUGAAUAUGUCUUUGUGUUUCGGGAUGGGCGUUUUGAUCCAGCCAACCAGCAUCCAUAUUUUAAGAACCGGGUGGAUCUGUAGGACAGACAGAUGAAGGAUGGAGACGUGUCUUUGAUUCUGAAGGAUGUGACAACUUCUGAUGCUGGAACAUACGAGUGUCGUGUCAUCCAGAUAGGAGCAACCCGCAGUAACACAGGGCACAUCAGCAUCAUCAGCCUGAAAGUUGUUCCUCCAGGUCAGCCAGGAGGAGAAGAAGAUGGAUCUUUUGGACUGAUCGUUGGUCUGACAGUUUCUGCUGUGCUUCUUGUUGCUGCUGUUGCCGUUUUUGUGAUCUACAGAAAACGUAAAAACAAUGUCUUGUGAUUUUUAUGAGACUCCAGAUUAGACUAAAAUGACUGGAUGCAUUAGCCAUAAAAAAGUAUGUUUUAAAAAAAAAACAAACAUGCAACCUAAUCACUAGUUACAAAAAAUCCCAUGUAUCUUCACUGAAUUAUCCAGCAUUCAGAGGUGGUUAACAAUGGAUUUUUAACAUGUCAUUAACAUGUCAACAGUCUAAGACAUCUAUUUUUAAACAGUCUAGAUGGUUUUUUUGUUUUUUGUUUAAGCCAUUUCAAUUGUGAUUAUAUUUAUGUUUAUUUAUUUUCCUAUAAGUGCAAAAUCAGACUGUCAAACAAUUUUGCACUCUAAUCCACUACUGUCUCCAGUUUAUUAGCAAAAUAUAUUUUUAAAAGUUCAAAUGUUUCAGUAAAAUUUAAAGCACAGACAAUAAUUAAUCUGUUUUUAUUGUGUCUAUAUUUGGUAAGGAAUUUCUUCAUUCUUUGUUUUAGUGGCUGAAAGAUCUUUAGUGUAUGCUCACUUUCAGUAUUUUGUUCUUAAUUUCAUGGCAAAAAGACAAUUUCUGUGACAUAGGUUUGGCGUCCUCCUUGUUACAGUUUUAGAAUCAGUGAUAGCUUUAGCUGUUUAUAAGAUCAAACUUGUUAUGUGAGGUUAACUCACCUAGAGAUCAGCUGUUACAGACUAAUUACACUGAAGGAACCACCUGACAAGACGAACACUGUGUGUGAUUGUGGAUGAAUUACUGUGAAUUACAGACAAUCACUAAUCCAACUGUUAGUGUUCAGGAUUGAUUGUUCAUCUAUAACAGAAUGGAAAAAAAAAAAAAUGUUCUGAUAGUUAAAUAAAACCAAAGGAUGAAAUUAUUUCACUGCACAUCAGCUGUUUUCUCCCUCUGAUCAGAUUUAACUUCCUUCAAUGAAGGGGACUCUUCAGUCUGUUACUUCACUUUACACAUUUCAUAAGCUGCUGGAAUAUUGUUGCUUUAUUUCAUUUCACUUUAAUGUGAGUUUAUUUGUUGAUGGUUAAUAAAGUCUUACAUGCACUAAUAA
ensembl:lncRNA